rnacentral:tRNA from 1 species
GAGGGUAUAGCUGAGUGGUAGAGUGUGUGUCUAGCAUGCAGAAGGUCCUAGAUUCAAUUCCUAGUAUCUCCA